rnacentral:rRNA from 1 species
GCCUACGAUCAUACUACGUUGAAAGCACCGCAUCCCGUCAGAUCUGCGAAGUUAAGCAACGUUAGGCCGGGUUAGUACUAUGGUUGGUGACAACAUGGGAACACUCGGUGUCGUAGGCUUUU